ACUCCUACGGGAGGCAGCAGUGGGAAUAUUGCACAAUGGGGAACCGUACUGCAGCCAUGCCGCGUGUGUGAAGAAGGCCUUCGGGUUGUAAAGCACUUUCAGUAGGGAGGAAGGUAGUGUAGUUAAUAGCUGCAUUAUUUGACGUUAGCGACAGAAGAAGCACCGGCUAACUCCGUGCCAGCAGCCGCGGUAAUACGGAGGGUGCGAGCGUUAAUCGGAAUUACUGGGCGUAAAGCGCAUGCAGGUGGUUUGUUAAGUCAGAUGUGAAAG
rnacentral:rRNA from 1 species